CAGCGAGCGUGUCGGACGCGGAUCCUUCUGUGGCCCUGCUGUGUCCUUCUUUGCUCCUAGGCUGUCGCCGUGUCGGCUUCAGGUGGCCCGAGCAUUCGAGGAACUCCGAAACCUGCGGCUUUGGAGCAGUCCAGGGCCGGCGCGGCUUUUAACUAAACCUCGGAAGGCGUGGCCUCUACACCCUACGAUGUUUUCCAGAUGCACCCUCUUCUUUCAUCUCUGCUACCUCAGUUGAAUCCAAAGGUUACUCAUCAUUUACCUGGACUACGGCUUUCUCUUUCUGUUUCACCCAGUAUUUCAUCUAGCUGGCCACAAACUCCAACCUGGCUUCAGCCAUGUUACACACUUCUGUUUAAAGCAUUCCAAAUUGAUUUGUUUAUCUUCCCAUUAUUUAGGUAACUAUUUCAGUAUUCCUUGUCCACUACAAAUACAAUGCUGGAAAGUUUUCUAGUAUCUGUAUUAUAAAAAGUAGAAAGCAGAUUAAAUUAAUUUUAAUAUAUUUUAUUUAACUCAAUAUAUCUAAAAUACUGUCAUUUCAAAUGAUGAUAUAAAAUUUAAGAUACUUUACUUUUUAUAGUAAGUCUUGAAAAUCCAGUAUAUAUUUUACACACUGGAUUUAAUUGCUUAAUUUUAAGUGAUUCUGUAUUUAGAGUUCCUAAAAUUUAUAGUUGAAAAAAGAUAUACUUUAGGGUUUUUUGCUUUGUUUUGUUUUGUGUUUUAUUUUUUUCCUUUUUAUGAGGGUCUGGCCAUGUGGUUCUGUAGGGUAUACUUCUGUAGGCCGGGCUACAGUAUUUCUGCUUGCCCCUGCAGUGCAGGCUGGAGCUGAACUCUUAUUUAUGGCAGGCUGGCCUUGAACGCCCAGCAACUCCUGCCUCAGCCUCCUCAGUGCUGGGAUUAUAGGCAGACACCACCACUCCCAGCUCACAUCUUUAGUUUUCUACAACUCAAAUUAAUUACAAAUAAAAUUUAAAAUUUAA